rnacentral:rRNA from 1 species
AUUGAACGCUGGCGGCAGGCCUAACACAUGCAAGUCGAGCGGAUGAAGGGAGCUUGCUCCUGGAUUCAGCGGCGGACGGGUGAGUAAUGCCUAGGAAUCUGCCUGGUAGUGGGGGAUAACGUCCGGAAACGGGCGCUAAUACCGCAUACGUCCUGAGGGAGAAAGUGGGGGAUCUUCGGACCUCACGCUAUCAGAUGAGCCUAGGUCGGAUUAGCUAGUUGGUGGGGUAAAGGCCUACCAAGGCGACGAUCCGUAACUGGUCUGAGAGGAUGAUCAGUCACACUGGAACCUGAACAACGUUCCGGCCUCUAAGGGAAGGCACAGUGGGGGAAAUUUGGACAUGGGGCGAAAGCCUGACCAACCCAGGCGCGUGGUGUGAAGAAGGUCUUCGGAUGGUAAAGCACUUUAGUUGGGGAGAAAGGCCAUAAGUUAAUACCUUGCUGUUUUGACGUUACCAACAGAAUAAGCACCGGCUAACUUCGUG